CAAAUAUUUAUACAUAAGUCUCUUAUCAGCAUUAUUAGAUUUGAUCUCAAAGAUGGAGGGUGAAGCCAUGUCCCACCGGGCGUGCCAUUUUGUCUGCCGCGAACGAACCGGCCCCGCCGUAGGUUGUUUCUAGGGCGAGUGGUCAUUCAUGGUAGAGAUAAAAUUUAUUUAUGUUUUAUUUUGAAAUCAGGAUUAUAGGUUCAUGGCUUCCAACAGACUCAAGAAUCUGCUGUUAAUUACCCCACACUUUCGGUGUUAAGGAACCCUCGAUUAAAAGACCAAAUAUAAAUGCUGAUAAUAAAAGAGACAAAACAGGCAAAUAACAUUUUAUUGAUA
rnacentral:lncRNA from 1 species